ensembl:lncRNA
ACUCACGUAAUGGCUGUUAACAUUACCCAUUUGGCGCCAGAGAGCAGCAAACGCACAUUUUUCAAAGGGAUUCACUUUAGUUCUUGUUCCCCCUUUUAUUACCGCACUGAUAAGUUUAAGUUAAAAAAUACACUUAAAGUGGGUCCGUAACGUUAAACCUUUCUACAUGCCGAGAAACCCGGGAAGGUCAGGCUACAAGCUAUUAACGUUAGCUAACAGCUAGCGUUAGCUAGUCACUUUACAUCGGUUAGGUUCGAAUGUUCGUGGCCACAAACUCACGAGAAAGUCAAACAAGAAAAGCAUCUGAUGCAUCACGCAUUUAUAUUGAUAGCAUCAACACUAGUUAGAUAAUUAUUUUCACUUAAAUGAGUCUACUAAUGUUAACCUAGCCUUAAUGGUGUAGGCAACAUUAAGCUAACGUUAGCAGCUAUAAGCCUCAGUUAACAUUUUAUUGAGACAGCAGACAGCCAACUACUUUUCUUGGUGGCAACUAAAUCCUGUUAAAGUGAAAAUAUGUAUUAUGAAUUUAAAACGUUUACUUACUGAAAACGUAGAGCCUUGGAUACGCAGACAGCCAGGAGAUAGAGCAAAUCCGCGUCCUCCAGGGGCGGUUUGUGGUCGCACAUGCGCAGAUGUGGAAGUUGAAUGUGGGUUUAAAAUGUACACGUGUUUUUCAUGUAACCUAUAAAUGACGGAAAUGAGCUUUUCGUAAACCAUGGAAGAAUGUGUUAAGCUUAAUUAAAAAAGCUAAUUCAAUAACACGUUCAAAUCAGUGAAAUGACCUUGCAUAAAUCAAGUAAUAUUUAAAAGCGGUCCGAAUCGUUUUUCUCCAGGAGCCAGUGGAAGGUUCUGCCCUGGUAGCGACCCAACUGCACCUUCCACCGGCUCAGGACCAGGGCGGCGCUGGUGGUGCCACCGCCCUCGGAGACGUUUUUUAUGCUUGUUAUUCCACAUAAAUGACAAAUGACACAAUUCUACUGGACUGUUGAAUGACACAUGAAUAAAACACGCUGCUGUUCGUUGUAAUAAAGUAACGUUAUGACUUGGUAAUAACUGGUGUUGUCAACACGUGACGCAUCACCGAUGCUAUAAAGUCACGUAAGCUCCGUCACCAAUAAACCACGCAAACGUCCGCAGAAACACGGAGAGACGUGACCGUUAGCUCCCACACGCGUUCCAUUCAGCGUAUUAAAUACAGUUAGUAAUAAUAACCAUAACUCGUGGCUAAAGUUACGCGUGUGACGUCACGGCCGCCGCUGGCAUCGAUCGGCAACAGAAUGAGACGGCAGUCCAGCGGUGAUCCAACAUGGCGGAUCGAAAAGUCCAAAUUGGAACAACUUGAGCAUCUGAUUGGACGCGCAAACCGUGGAUCCUCUGAUAAGUCGGCCGAGAAUUGGAACAAGCUCCGAGGCCUCUCAUUGGCUCCUGGGAAUUGGAACAAUUGGAACAGAGAAGAAGGAUGUUGUGUGUAAAAGCAGGCAAUCUUGCAGCUCAAGGCAAGGCGGAGGUCACCGGUAAUGUGGGCAUACCCACGAUCUGACCACUGGUGGGACACAACAACAACAAGCAGUGCACGAUCGGUUGUGGAGAUGUCGUUUGGGAGAUUGAAAGGACGAUGGAGGUGCCUCCUAAAAAGAGCUGCAUUAAUGAUGCAUUUUAACAGAGGGAACGAGUGAUUCUUUGAAUACACCAAAGCUAUAUUUGUUGCAAUACUUUUGUAACACUGCAGUUUGUGUUUAUUGAAAUCUACACUUUUAUAUUGUAUUACAUUCUCAUCCAUUAAAUGAACCAUGUAAUCUCUAAAACGUGCAUUUUGUGAAUCAUUUAUCAAUCAUCCUCAAUCAACAACCCUUUCACACUUCUGGCCCGGAUUAAAACCAACCAAGUUUUUAUUAACUUCCAAUCAUGAAGUAAUUUGGAUUUUAAUCAUAUUUCAUGUCGAAAUAAUAUAGAUUUGUAUAUGCAGCUAAUCGCAUCACUUGGCUGUUUAAUGUACACAUUUAUAUAAAAGUAAAUUGCAUUAAAAACAAACACAAACCAUAAGGCAAUAUUUGCCUGUUAAGUGUUUAAGAAAC